rnacentral:rRNA from 1 species
AGCGUGGAGACAGGUGGUGCAUGGCUGUCGUCAGCUCGUGUCGUGAGAUGUUGGGUUAAGUCCCGCAACGAGCGCAACCCUCACCCUUUGUUGCCAUCAGGUUAUGCUGGGCACUCUAAGGGAACUGCCUCGGUUAACGAGGAGGAAGGUGGGGAUGACGUCAAGUCAUCAUGCCCCUUACGCUCUGGGCUACACACGUGCUACAAUGGCCAAUACAAAGGGCUGCAAACCCGCGAGGGUAAGCCAAUCCCAAAAAAUUGGUCUCAGUUCAGAUUGUAGGCUGCAACCCGCCUGCAUGAAGGAGGAAUCGCUAGUAAUCGUGGAUCAGCAUGCCACGGUGAAUACGUUCCCGGGCCUUGUACACACCGCCCGUCACACCACGAAAGUCUGCUGUACUCGAAGUCGCUGAG